rnacentral:rRNA from 1 species
GCUUACGGCCAUACCACUAAUGCCUGAUUUUGUCUGAUCUCGGAAGGUAAGCAAGGGUCAGGCCUGGUUAGUACUUUGAUGAAAAUAAGCAAAAAGCAAUAGUUCAAAUUU